rnacentral:rRNA from 1 species
UAAAUUUUAAAAUUAUAAUACUAAAAUAGUAAAUAAUUAUUUAUUAAAACUUAAAUAAUUUGGCGGUAUUUUAGUUCAUUUAGAGGAAUCUGUUUAAUAAUUGAUAUUCCACGAAUAAAUUUACUUAAUUUUUAAUUUUGUAUAUCGUUGUUAUAAAAAUAUUUUUUAAUAAAAUUAAUAUUUAAAAAUUAUUAUAAAAAUUUAAAUCAGAUCAAGAUGCAGAUUAUAAUUAAGAAUAUAAUGGAUUACAAUAAAAUUAUUUAAAUGGAUAUUAAUUUGUAAGAUUUAAUUGAAAGUGGAUUUAAAUGUAAUUUUAUUUAAUUUAAUAAAAUGAUUAAAAAUUAAAAUAUGU